rnacentral:rRNA from 1 species
GAUGAACGCUAGCGGGAGGCCUAAUACAUGCAAGUCGAGCGGUAGAGUGACUUCGGUUGCUUGAGAGCGGCGAACGGGUGAGUAACGCGUACACAAUCUACCUUUAAGAGGGGAAUAGCCCUGGGAAACUGGGAUUAAUGCCCCAUGGCAUCACGAGACGGCAUCGUUUUGUGAUUAAAGCUGAGGUGCUUAGAGAUGAGUGUGCGUCUGAUUAGCUAGUUGGUGCGGUAACGGCGCACCAAGGCGACGAUCAGUAGGGGGCGUGAGAGCGUGGACCCCCANACGGGUACUGAGACACGGACCCGACUCCUACGGGAGGCAGCAGUAAGGAAUAUUGGUCAAUGGAGGAAACUCUGAACCAGCCAUCCCGCGUGCAGGAAGAAUGCCCUAUGGGUUGUAAACUGCUUUUAUCUGGGAAGAAAGUCGGGAUUUAUCCUGAUCUGACGGUACCAGAGGAAUAAGCACCGGCUAACUCCGUGCCAGCAGCCGCGGUAA